rnacentral:sRNA from 1 species
AUGUAUCACGCGUCCACUGCGGUUCUGAGCGCGCCGUCCGCGCCCACCUGACGACUNAUGCGCGGCGAGGGCG